rnacentral:rRNA from 1 species
AUGCAUAGGAAUCUACCUAGUAGUAUAGGAUAGCCACUAGAAAUGGUGGGUAAUACUGUAUAAUCCCUGCGGGGGAAAGAUUUAUCGCUACAUGAUGAGCCUAUGUUAGAUUAGCUAGUUGGUAGGGUAAAGGCCUACCAAGGCGAUGAUCUAUAGCUGGUCUGAGAGGAUGAUCAGCCACACUGGAACUGAGAUACGGUCCAGACUCCUACGGGAGGCAGCAGUGGGGAAUAUUGGACAAUGGGCGCAAGCCUGAUCCAGCUAUGCCGCGUGAGUGAGGAAGGCCUUAGGGUUGUAAAACUCUUUCAGUAGGGAAGAUAAUGACGGU